rnacentral:rRNA from 1 species
AGGACGAACGCUGGCGGCGCGCUUAACACAUGCAAGUCGAGCGAGAACCAGGGCUUCGGCCCUGGGGAAAGCGGCGAACGGGUGAGUAACACGUGAGUAACCUGUCCUCGGCACCGGGAUAGCCCGGGGAAACCCGGAUUAAUACCGGAUGGCCUUUCGAGCUCUCGGGCUCGUUAGAAAAGGUAGCUUCGGCCUCCGGCCGAGGAGGGACUCGCGGCGGAUUAGCUUGUUGGUGAGGUAACGGCUCACCAAGGCGACGAUCCGUAGCUGGUCUGAGAGGACGAUCAGCCACACUGGGACUGAGACACGGCCCAGACUCCUACGGGAGGCAGCAGUGGGGAAUCUUGCGCAAUGGGCGAAAGCCUGACGCAGCGACGCCGCGUGCGGGAAGAAGGCCUCGGGUUGUAAACCGCUUUCAGGAGGGACGAAGCCACUCGGGUUAAUAGCCCAGAGGGUGACGAUACCUCCAGAAGAAGCCCCGGCUAACUACGUGCCAGCAGCCGC